rnacentral:rRNA from 1 species
CGAAUGAUGGAAUUCUUAUGACCCAGCUGCGUUUGCUUUGCCGAGCGCCCCUUGAGGCGCUAGGCGGACGGUUAUGCUGCCCCUAUUUUUGGCCAUGCUCUUACCCUUUUCGGGAACCAUGGAAAAUUAUGUGGUAUCGCUUGUUGCCUCGGAUGCGGAGCACGAAGCGAGCAUGAUGCCAUGUCAUCAUUUGCUCAUUCGGAGCUCUCGAUUGCUCGAAAAGAGAGACUGUCGCGCUUGGUUUUGGCUGUCGACUUGUCGAACCAGUUCAAAACCUUGCCGAUGUCUUCAACGAAUGCUACCUGGUUGAUCCUGCCAGUAGUCAUAUGCUUGUCUCAAAGAUUAAGCCAUGCAUGA